rnacentral:lncRNA from 1 species
ACACACACACACACACACACAGCUGUUAGAGCAACACUUCUAACAUUCAUCCUUACAUAGAGGAUCCCUCUUACCAUUACAAUGAAACAAUGCAUAAGAAGAGACAGAGAGACAGAGACAGAGAGACAGAGGGAGAGAGAAAGAGAGAGAGAAAGAGAGGGAGAGAGAUAGAAAGAGAGAGAGAGACAGACAGACAGAGAGACAGAGAGAGAGACACAGAGACAGAGAGAGAGAGAGAGAGAGAGAAAGUGACAGAGGGAGAGAGAAAGAGAGGGAGAGAGAUAGAAAGUGAAAGAGAGACAGAGACAGAGAGAAAGAGAGGGAGAGAGAUAGAAAGAGAGAGAGAAAGACAGAGACAGAGAGAAAGAGAGGGAGAGAGAUAGAGAGAGAUUAAGGGAGCUAUAUAGCCAUGGUCACAUUCUCCUGGCUAAUGUCAGGGAAAGACCACAGGGAUCUGAAGUGGUCAUCAAUCUAUGGUCCAUCUAUGAUCAAUCUAUGGUCAGAUACACUGUAAGUGAUGAAGUCAGAGAGUCCCAUUGAAAUGAAUUGCUAUGGAUAUGAUCACAACUAUAGGCUUGGCGUGGACAACCAAAAACUUUCCUUGAGUUCCCCUUCAAUGACCAUGACAAUUCCCUACUACAUUAAACAUUGGUCAUGUCCCAAAUGGCACCCUAUUCACUAUAUAGUGAACUACUUUUGACCAGAAUCCUAUUUUGGGACACAUCCACAGGGUUUGCAAUGUCACUCAGGGUGCUCUUGGAGAGAGAGACAGGAUAUCUGAAUCCCAAGACAGAGAUCUGUCCUCUCUCUGCCAUCCCAGCUGUCCAUCUGUCCGGCUGUCCGUCCUCAGCCUGUGACAUCAGUGUUAUGUGAAAACCCAGCCCACCACAUCCUCUCCAGGACAAUGGGGAAUAAUCAGCCAUGAUCUGUGUCAUCGGGUUACAGCACGGAAAUCAACACACAAUAUGUGUACUGUACACACAAACACACACAUUUCUAUCCACGCACACAUCCCUCACAUACUCAUACACACACACACACGCACACACGCACACACACACACACACACACACCUUGAUCUCCUAAGACUCCUACCUGUGUCCGUCAUUACUGAGAGGGGGAGACGUGUGUCUCACUGUACAGACGGACAUAAAUGAAUGACCUGUUGACACGGCUCCCUACCAUAACAGUGACUGUGUCUCAAAUGUUAUCCUAUUUCCUAUUUAGUCUACUACUUUACAUGACCGCAUAGGGCUCUGGUCAAGAGUAGUGCACUAUAUAUGGAAUAGGGUGCCAUUUGGGAAUUGGGACACAGCCGGUGUCAUUUGGGAGCUAGUGACAGCUUAUCUGUUAAACCAGUGACCUACCCCGCUCUCGCUCAUGUUCAUUCACAAGCACAAAACAGUAACAUAUACACAAACUCUAUAGUAGAGAAAUAUGAAUUUAUCAUUGCAUGUAUUUUUCUGAUGUGAGGGAGGAUUGAUUAACAGCUUGGAUUCCAGUAGAGGAAGUAUGUUACACCACAAACUGACAAAUAGCUAUAUCAAGAAGCUGGAUCCUCCGUUGCUUGCAACCACAGCCCACUGUGGUGGAAUUUCAUUAAUGGUUUGAUAACCAAACUGACAAAAAAUGUACCACCAGUCGCAAUCAUCUUGCCAGGUGCCAGAAAAUGACAUUAUAUAUUUGUGAGGAAAUGCCCAAGUCAAAUAAUUCCAUGAAAAACAUACAGCAGUUCGAUUUGUCAUGUAACAUUCCUUUACACUUCUUCAAACUUGAUAUAUGAUGCUUUACCAUCACAUUGUGUCUUGUAUGUACGUAAAAUGCAAUCAGGAAAAGGAACUUCGGGAGAUUAUUAUUUUUGCGUACCUAAAAAAAGAAUAAUUAUGAAACCACUGCACUACAGAUGAAGGAUCUUAAUUUGAUUACUCUUUUGUUUAUGAGAAUUUUCCUGCACAGAAGGAAAUGCAAACUUGUAAUGAAUUCAACUUUUUAAAAAGGCUUCUAAAGUUUGUAAUUACCACCCUAACUUCAAAUGUAUUAACGCCUACAAAAAAACGUCCAUUCGUUAUGAUCAACAUAAUAAUUAACAUUUCUUGUUGAUGAAGGAUUAUUUUCCUGCUGUAGCAAACUAGCUCAAAUGAAGAUCCUACAAGUGUAGGUCUUCAGAUCAACGUUGUAAACAGUUCCCAUGUGUUUCUGUACCAGUGGUCAGAUGUGUGGCUUCCCAAUGACACUAUGUGUGGGUAACCAAUGGCAUCCUAUUCUUUAUAUAAUGCACUACUUCGAGCUGAGUCAUAUGAGCCCUGGUCAAAAGUAGUGCAAUAUGUAGGGAUAAGGGUGCCAUUUGGGACGCAUAUGGCAUGACAGCGCAGGCAGUCUUGGUGUGAACAAGGCACUGGCUAUGUUGUUAUGGGAAAAAAGAACUAGGCAGACACAUUGGCUCUGAUGACUUCUGAGAUAUGUCUCUUCAUUUAGCCUCAUACACAAGGCAAUGAAUGAACCGCCACUAAUCAAUGUUACACAGGUUGUUGUGUGCUGUUGGCUAAAUGAUGACAUGACCUUUCUUGAUGAGAUCCAUACAAACACCGGGUUGACCGCUAGAGAGAAGAGUGUGUUCUGUAAAUGGUGAAUGACCUCAAACACAGCUGCUAUGUGUGUGAGGGGAGUGUGACAGUUAGACUCUGUUUUAAAAGUGGUAUGAGGAGGACAGUGUGACAGUUAGACUCUGUUUUAAAAGUGGUAUGAGGAGGACAGCGUGACAGUUGGACUCUGUUUUAAAAGUGGUAUGAGGAGGACAGUGUGACAGUUGGACUCUGUUUUAAAAGUGGUAUGAGGAGGACAGCGUGACAGCUGGACUCUGUUUUAAAAAAGUGGUAUGAGGAGGACAGCGUGACAGUUAGACUCUGUUUUAAAAGUGGUAUGAGGAGGACAGUGUGACAGUUAGACUCUGUUUUAAAAGUGGUAUGAGGAGGACAGCGUGACAGCUGGACUCUGUUAUAAAAAAGUGGUAUGAGGAGGACAGUUAGACUCUGUUUUAAAAAAGUGGUAUGAGGAGGACAGCGUGACAGUUGGACUCUGUUUUAAAAAAGUGGUAUGAGGAGGACAGUGUGACAGUUAGACUCUGUUUUAAAAGCGGUAUGAGGAGGACAGCGUGACAGUUAGACUCUGUUUUAAAAAAGUGGUAUGAGGAGGACAGCGUGACAGCUGGACUCUGUUAUAAAAAAGUGGUAUGAGGAGGACAGUUAGACUCUGUUUUAAAAAAGUGGUAUGAGGAGGACAGCGUGACAGUUGGACUCUGUUAUAAAAAAGUGGUAUGAGGAGGACAGUGUGACAGUUAGACUCUGUUUUAAAAGCGGUAUGAGGAGGACAGCGUGACAGUUAGACUCUGUUUUAAAAAAGUGGUAUGAGGAGGACAGCGUGACAGUUGGACUCUGUUUUAAAAGUGGUAUGAGGAGGACAGUGUGACAGCUGGACUCUGUUUUAAAAAAGUGGUAUGAGGAGGACAGCGUGACAGUUGGACUCUGUUUUAAAAGUGGUAUGAGGAGGACAGCGUGACAGUUGGACUCUGUUUUAAAAGUGGUAUGAGGAGGACAGCGUGACAGCUGGACUCUGUUAUAAAAAAGUGGUAUGAGGAGGACAGCGUGACAGUUGGACUCUGUUUUAAAAGUGGUAUGAGGAGGACAGCGUGACAGCUGGACUCUGUUUUAAAAGUGGUAUGAGGAGGACAGCGUGACAGUUGGACUCUGUUUUAAAAAAGUGGUAUGAGGAGGACAGCGUGACAGUUGGACUCUGUUUUAAAAGUGGUAUGAGGAGGACAGUCUGACAGCUGGACUCUGUUUUAAAAGUGGUAUGAGGAGGACAGUGUGACAGCUGGACUCUGUUAUAAAAAAGUGGUAUGAGGAGGACAGCGUGACAGUUAGACUCUGUUUUAAAAGUGGUAUGAGGAGGACAGCGUGACAGUUAGACUCUGUUUUAAAAGUGGUAUGUGGAGGACAGUGUGACAGUUAGACUCUGUUUUAAAAGUGGUAUGAGGAGGACAGUGUGACAGUUAGACUCUGUUUUAAAAGUGGUAUGAGGAGGACAGCGUGACAGCUGGACUCUGUUAUAAAAAAGUGGUAUGAGGAGGACAGUGUGACAGCUGGACUCUGUUUUAAAAGUGGUAUGAGGAGGACAGCGUGACAGUUGGACUCUGUUUUAAAAAAGUUGUAUGAGGAGGACAGCGUGACAGUUGGACUCUGUUUUAAAAGUGGUAUGAGGAGGACAGCGUGACAGUUGGACUCUGUUUUAAAAGUGGUAAGAGGAGGACAGCGUGACAGUUGGACUCUGUUUUAAAAGUGGUAUGAGGAGGACAGUGUGACAGCUGGACUCUGUUAUAAAAAAGUGGUAUGAGGAGGACAGCGUGACAGUUAGACUCUGUUUUAAAAGUGGUAUGAGGAGGACAGCGUGACAGUUAGACUGUUUUAAAAGUGGUAUGUGGAGGACAGUGUGACAGUUAGACUCUGUUUUAAAAGUGUGGUAUGAGGAGGACAGCGUGACAGUUAGACUCUGUUUUAAAAGUGGUAUGAGGAGGACAGCGUGACAGUUAGACUGUUUUAAAAGUGGUAUGUGGAGGACAGUGUGACAGUUAGACUCUGUUUUAAAAGUGGUAUGAGAAGGACAGUGUGACAGUUAGACUCUGUUUUAAAAGUGGUAUGAGGAGGACAGCGUGACAGCUGGACUCUGUUAUAAAAAAGUGGUAUGAGGAGGACAGUUAGACUCUGUUUUAAAAAAGUGGUAUGAGGAGGACAGCGUGACAGUUGGACUCUGUUUUAAAAGUGGUAUGAGGAGGACAGUGUGACAGUUGGACUCUGUUAUAAAAAAGUGGUAUGAGGAGGACAGCUUGACAGUUGGACUCUGUUUUAAAAGUGGUAUGAGGAGGACAGCGUGACAGCUGGACUCUGUUAUAAAAAAGUGGUAUGAGGAGGACAGCGUGACAGUUGGACUCUGUUUUAAAAGUGGUAUGAGGAGGACAGUGUGACAGCUGGACUCUGUUUUAAAAGUGGUAUGAGGAGGACAGCGUGACAGUUGGACUCUGUUUUAAAAAAGUGGUAUGAGGAGGACAGCGUGACAGUUGGACUCUGUUUUAAAAGUGGUAUGAGGAGGACAGCCUGACAGCUGGACUCUGUUUUAAAAAGUGGUAUGAGGAGGACAGCGUGACAGUUAGACUCUGUUUUAAAAAAGUGGUAUGAGGAGGACAGCGUGACAGUUAGACUCUGUUUUAAAAGUGGUAUGAGGAGGACAGCGUGACAGUUAGACUCUGUUUUAAAAGUGGUAUGUGGAGGACAGUGUGACAGUUAGACUCUGUUUUAAAAGUGGUAUGAGAAGGACAGUGUGACAGUUAGACUCUGUUUUAAAAGUGGUAUGAGGAGGACAGCGUGACAGCUGGACUCUGUUAUAAAAAAGUGGUAUGAGGAGGACAGUUAGACUCUGUUUUAAAAAAGUGGUAUGAGGAGGACAGCGUGACAGUUGGACUCUGUUUUAAAAAUGGUAUGUGGAGGACAGUGUGACAGUUAGACUCUGUUUUAAAAGUGGUAUGAGGAGGACAGUGUGACAGUUAGACUCUGUUUUAAAAGUGGUAUGAGGAGGACAGCGUGACAGCUGGACUCUGUUAUAAAAAAGUGGUAUGAGGAGGACAGUUAGACUCUGUUUUAAAAAAGUGGUAUGAGGAGGACAGCGUGACAGUUGGACUCUGUUUUAAAAGUGGUAUGAGGAGGACAGUGUGACAGUUGGACUCUGUUAUAAAAAAGUGGUAUGAGGAGGACAGCUUGACAGUUGGACUCUGUUUUAAAAGUGGUAUGAGGAGGACAGCGUGACAGCUGGACUCUGUUAUAAAAAAGUGGUAUGAGGAGGACAGCGUGACAGUUGGACUCUGUUUUAAAAGUGGAAUGAGGAGGACAGCGUGAGAGUUGGACUCUGUUAUAAAAGUGGUAUGGGGAGGACAGCGUGACAGUUAGACUCUGUUUUAAAAGUGGUAUGAGGAGGACAGUGUGACAGUUAGACUCUGUUUUAAAAGCGGUAUGAGGAGGACAGCGUGACAGUUAGACUCUGUUUUAAAAAAGUGGUAUGAGGAGGACAGCGUGACAGUUGGACUCUGUUUUAAAAGUGGUAUGAGGAGGGCAGCGUGACAGCUGGACUCUGUUUUAAAAGUGGUAUGAGGAGGACAGCGUGACAGUUGGACUCUGUUUUAAAAGUGGUAUGAGGAGGACAGUGUGACAGUUGGACUCUGUUUUAAAAGUGGUAUGUGGAGGACAGCGUGACAGUUAGACUCUGUUUUAAAAGUGGUAUGAGGAGGACAGUGUGACAGUUAGACUCUGUUUUAAAAGUGGUAUGAGGAGGACAGUGUGACAGCUGGACUCUGUUUUAAAAGUGGUAUGAGGAGGACAGCGUGACAGCUGGACUCUGUUUUAAAAAUGGUAUGAGGAGGACAGCGUGACAGUUGGACUCUGUUUUAAAAAAGUUGUAUGAGGAGGACAGCGUGACAGUUGGACUCUGUUUUAAAAAAGUGGUAUGAGGAGGACAGCGUGACAGUUGGACUCUGUUUUAAAAGUGGUAUGAGGAGGACAGCGUGACAGCUGGACUCUGUUUUAAAAGUGGUAUGAGGAGGACAGCGUGACAGUUGGACUCUGUUUUAAAAGUGGUAUGAGGAGGACAGCGUGACAGUUGGACUCUGUUUUAAAAGUGGUAUGAGGAGGACAGCGUGACAGCUGGACUCUGUUUUAAAAAAGUGGUAUGAGGAGGACAGCGUGACAGUUAGACUCUGUUUUAAAAG